GACGAACGCUGGCGGCGUGCUUAACACAUGCAAGUCGAACGGAAAGGCCCUGCUUUUGUGGGGUGCUCGAGUGGCGAACGGGUGAGUAACACGUGAGUAACCUGCCCUUGACUUUGGGAUAACAUCAGGAAACUGGGGCUAAUACCGGAUAGGAGCUCCUGCUGCAUGGUGGGGGUUGGAAAGUGUCGGCGGUUGGGGAUGGACUCGCGGCUUAUCGGCUUGUUGGGGGGGUAGUCGCUUACCAAGGCUUCGACGGGUAGCCGGCCUGAGAGGGGGACCGGCCACAUGGGGACUGAGAUAGGGCGCAGAAUCCUACGGGAGGCAGCAGUGGAGAAUCUUGCACAGUGGGCGGAAGCCUGAGGCAGCAACGCCGCGUGCGGGAUGACGUCUUUCGGGGUGUAAACAGCUUUCGCCGGUGACGAAGCGUGAGUGACGGUAAUGGGUAAAGAAGCACCGGCUAACUACGUG
rnacentral:rRNA from 1 species